rnacentral:rRNA from 1 species
CUGGAAACGGCUGCUAAUACCCCAUAUGCCGCGAGGUGAAAUGAAUUUCGCCUGAGGAUGAGCUCGCGUCUGAUUAGCUAGUUGGUGUAGGUAAUGGCUCACCAAGGCAUCGAUCAGUAGCUGGUCUGAGAGGAUGAUCAGCCACACUGGGACUGAGACACGGCCCAGACUCCUACGGGAGGCAGCAGUGGGGAAUUUUCCGCAAUGGGCGAAAGCCUGACGGAGCAACGCCGCGUGAGGGAUGAAG